GACGAACGCUGGCGGCGUGCUUAACACAUGCAAGUCGAACGAAGAGCGAUGGAAGCUUGCUUCUAUCAAUCUUAGUGGCGAACGGGUGAGUAACGCGUAAUCAACCUGCCCUUCAGAGGGGGACAACAGUUGGAAACGACUGCUAAUACCGCAUACGAUCUAAUCUCGGCAUCGAGGAUAGAUGAAAGGUGGCCUCUACAUGUAAGCUAUCACUGAAGGAGGGGAUUGCGUCUGAUUAGCUAGUUGGAGGGGUAACGGCCCACCAAGGCGAUGAUCAGUAGCCGGUCUGAGGGGAUGAACGGCCACAUUGGGACUGAGACACGGCCCAGACUCCUACGGGAGGCAGCAGUGGGGAAUCUUCCGCAAUGGACGAAAGUCUGACGGAGCAACGCCGCGUGAGCGAUGACGGCCUUCGGGUUGUAAAGCUCUGUUAAUCGGACGAAAGGCCUUCUUGCGAAGAGUGAGAAGGAUUGACGGUACCGGAAUAGAAAGCCACGGCUAACUACGU
rnacentral:rRNA from 1 species